GUGCUAGGACGCCAUGCUACCAUACCUCAGAAUGUUUGUGUGUUAUUGGUGCUUAUGUGUGUGUCCUUACGAUAUUGUUAACAGAGGUUAACUCGGGUGCUUAUGAUGUGUGUUUCCUUACGAUAUUGUUAACAGAGGUUAACUCGGGUGCUUAUGGUCAACCAUUCCCAGAGGUCUGGAGAAACACCAUUUAAAAACGUGGAUUGUAGCUAAAGAAGAUGGAGAGGUUGUUACAGCACACUGUAACUGUAUGGCUGGUUUGUCAGAAUCCUGCUCACAUGUUGGAGCAGUUCUGUUUGCAAUCGAAGCAGGUGUGAAGAUGAGAGAGACUGCAUCCUGCACCACUGA